rnacentral:lncRNA from 1 species
GAUAAACAAAAAUCCAAAAGUGCAAUAAGAUUACCUUUCUGAAACAGCUAACUAUGCUGAGCUGGACGAGCUUCGCGGUGACAUAUCACAAAUUGUACAUGAAAAAAUUGAAUCAAGACUCUACAAAUUUUAGGUCGAACAAUUGAUUUGGGACUGAUUUGAAAUUAUAAAUACAUUUCGGAAAACUCUUGCCAAAUCAAGACUCUACAAAUUUUAGGUCGAACAAUUGAUUUGGGACAGAUUUGAAAUUAUAAAUACAUUUCGGAAAACUCUUGCCAACAGAAGAUUUGUUCAAAAAAUCAAAAUAAAGUGCUCAAAAGAAAAAAAUGGAAGUGAAGAAGUACCAUUUUGAGGUCUCUUGUCGAAACUUCGUAUGAAGAAAUGCCAUUUUGACACAUCUUUAAUCGUACUAGGUGAGUUUUCGUCGAGCUUUGCCAAAAUCAAGGAUAGAAUUUCAGCA